rnacentral:rRNA from 1 species
CACUUGCUAAUAGAGUCUGCUUCUAAUCGCUUGAAUGAACAAACACUUAACUUUACCUUUGGCCCAAAUCAGGNANGACUACCGCUGAACUUAA